UACGGAGGGAGCUAGCGUUGUUCGGAAUUACUGGGCGUAAAGCGCACGUAGGCGGCUUGUAAGUUAGAGGUGAAAGCCCGGGGCUCAACUCCGGAACUGCCUUUAAGACUGCAUCGCUUGAAUCCAGGAGAGGUGAGUGGAAUUCCGGAAGUGUAGAGGUAGAAAUUCGUAGAUAUUCGGAAGAACACCAAUGGCGAAGGCAGCACUCUGGGACGUGACUGACGCUGAGACGGCGAAAGCGUGG
rnacentral:rRNA from 1 species